GAUGAAUGGAGCGUACCUCUGCUUGAACUGCUAAACAGUAUAUGUUCCUCCUCUAAUCUUGUUUCAUCUCCGAUAAUAGAAAUCCACGUUUCUGCUAUCUUCUCCACUCUUCCAUUUGCCAUUUCUGCGAUGGUGAACGCUCGUGAUGUUCCUUCAGAUUCUGCUGUCAAAGCUGGAGGCCUGACCCGUGGAACUAUAGCUCCGUUCAAGUAUAUGACAUUAUCAUUUCCAACUACUAUCAUUUUGCGAAGGCCAUUUCCAGAAGCAAGCUGUUUGUGCAUGUGACCGAAAAUGACCAGAGGGACCGAAUAUGGAGAGGACUCCUUUAAUUUGGCUAAGGCUUGUGCUAGAUCUGGGUCACCAUGGUCACCACCAUCAAUAAACCAGUCUCUUCCGCAGAUGUCAUCCACGUCAGCACCUAACCCUGUUGGACCAUUAUGAGCAAGGAAUAUAAUUGAAUGAUCCUCUGGAGUGCCCAUGGCAGCUUGUAAGAUUCUCUCAGCACUUCCAUCCAUAUCACGGACUCCAUACCUUGCUUUGAGAAGCUGUUUCCGGAAUAAGGGCCUACCACCACAAGAAAAAGGUCGUCCACCAACAAUACUGAGUUUUAGCAUAGGGAGAUCCAUUCGACGGUAACCAACAUGCUCAUCACCAAGACAUUCCAGCUGAAGUUGAACAGCAUCUUUUUCCUUCCCAGAGAACUUUUGAGUAUUCCAUGCGUCAUGGUUCCCUAGAAUAACAGCUUUGGUGAUCUCUAGAUCUGCUAUGCUUCGGACUAGAUCCACAUUUUCAUUCCCAAAAUCCCCUGUAAAGAGCACCAAA
rnacentral:misc_RNA from 1 species